AUUCAUGGUCUACCUGCAUCACUUAGGUCGACUCAUCCUCGAUACUAGGUUUCUUGAGGGUCUCCAAAUAGAUAGACUUCUAGAUGUCGGUGCACUCCAAAAUCACCAGCUUUGAUAGCAGAUCCGCUCAAGCAUUUUUUAUCCUGGGUCUCUGCAAAAUAUUAAAUUUGAUGAAUAAGGAAAUAAUCUCUUGUACCUUCUGUAGGUAUUUUCUUUUGGAAGGUGCUUUAGCCUCGUAU
rnacentral:lncRNA from 1 species